UACGUAGGGGGCAAGCGUUGUCCGGAAUCAUUGGGCGUAAAGAGCGUGUAGGCGGCCAGAUAAGUCCGCUGUGAAAUCUCGAGGCUCAACUUCGAGCUGUCGGUGGAAACUGUCUGGCUAGAGUCCGGAAGAGGAGAAUGGAAGUCCUGGUGUAGCGGUGAAAUGCGCAGAUAUCAGGAAGAACACCCGUGGCGAAGGCGGUUCUCUGGGACGGUACUGACGCUGAGACGCGAAAGCGUGGGGAGCGAACAGG
rnacentral:rRNA from 1 species